CCAGCAGCCGCGGUAAUACGAAGGGACCUAGCGUAGUUCGGAAUUACUGGGCUUAAAGAGCACGUAGGUGGUUAAGAAAGUUGGUGGUGAAACCCCAAGGCUUAACCUUGGAACUGCCACCAAAACUUUUUAACUAGAGUAUGAUUGAGGCAAGCGGAAUUUCUAGUGUAGAGGUGAAAAUUCGUAGAUAUUAGAAAGAACACCAAUUGCGAAGGCAGCUUUCUGGAUCAUUACUGACACUGAGGUGCGAAAGCAUGGGUAGCGAAGAGGAUUAGAUACCCUCGUAGUCCAUGCCGUAAACGAUGUGUGCUAGACGUUGGGAAUUUAUUUUUCAGUGUCGCAGCAAAAGCGUUAAGCACACCGCCUGGGGAGUACGACCGCAAGGUUAAAACUCAAAUGAAUUGACGGGGAUCCGCACAAGUAGUGGAGCAUGUGGUUUAAUUCGAAGAUACGCGCAGAACCUUACCAACACUUGACAUGUUCGUCGCGACUCUAAGAGAUUAGAGUUUUCGGUUCGGCCGGACGAAACACAGGUGCUGCAUGGCUGUCGUCAGCUCGUGUCGUGAGAUGUUGGGUUAAGUCCCGCAACGAGCGCAACCCUUACUUUUAGUUGCUACCAUUCAGUUGGGCACUCUAGAAGAACUGCCAGUGAUAAGCUGGAGGAAGGUGGGGAUGACGCCAAGUCCUCAUGGCCCUUAUGUGUUGGGCUACACACGUGCUACAAUGGUAUUUACAGUGGGAUGCAAAGAGGCAACUCCUAGCCAACCCCCAAAAAAUACCUCAGUUCGGAUUGUACUCUGCAACUCGAGUACAUGAAGCUGGAAUUACUAGUAAUCGCGAAUCAGCGUGCCGCGGUGAAUACGUUCCCGGGUCUUGUACACACCGCCCGUCACACCAUGGAAGUUGGUUACACCUUAAGGCAAAGCGUAAAACC
rnacentral:rRNA from 1 species